GUAGGUGGCAAGCGUUGUCCGGAAUUAUUGGGGCGUAAAGCGCGCGCAGGCGGGUUCUUUAAGUCUGAUGUGAAAGCCCACGGGCUCAACCGUGGAGGGUCAUUGGAAACUGGAGAACUUGAGUACAGAAGAGGAAAGCGGAAUUCCACGUGUAGCGGUGAAAUGCGUAGAGAUGUGGAGGAACACCAGUGGCGAAGGCGGCUUUCUGGUCUGUAACUGACGCUGAGGCGCGAAAGCGUGGGGAGCAAACAGGAUUAGAUACCCUGGUAGUCCACGCCGUAAACGAUGAGUGCUAAUGUUAGGGGGUUUCCGCCCCUUAGUGCUGCAGCUAACGCAUUAAGCACUCCGCCUGGGGAGUACGGCCACAAGGCUG
rnacentral:rRNA from 1 species